rnacentral:rRNA from 1 species
GGGCCCGCACAAGCGGUGGAGCAUGUGGUUUAAUUCGAUGAUACGCGAGGAACCUUACCAAGGCUUAAAUGUAGAGGGACAGGCGGCGAAAGUUGCCCUUCUUCGGACACUUAACAAGGUGCUGCAUGGUUGUCGUCAGCUCGUGCCGUGAGGUGUCAGGUUAAGUCCUAUAACGAGCGCAACCCCUGUUGUUAGUUGCCAGCGAGUAAUGUCGGGAACUCUAGCAAGACUGCCAGUGCAAACUGUGAGGAAGGUGGGGAUGACGUCAAAUCAUCACGGCCCUUACGUCCUGGGCUACACACGUGCUACAAUGGUAGGUACAGAGAGCAGCCAAUGCGCGAGCAUGAGCAAAUCUUCAAAGCCGGUCUCAGUUCGGAUCGCAGUCUGCAACUCGACUGCGUG